rnacentral:sRNA from 16 species
CUAAAUACUAAAUCACACACGUGUCGACACAUUCUUCGGGGUGCCCUCAGUUAUUCACUGCGGGGUCGAAGACAUGGGAUACGUGGAGGUCUAAC